rnacentral:rRNA from 2 species
UGAGGAAUAUUGGUCAAUGGACGCAAGUCUGAACCAGCCACGUCGCGUGAAGGAAGACGGCCCUACGGGUUGUAAACUUCUUUUGUAAGGGAAUAAAGUGAGCCACGUGUGGCUUUUUGCAUGUACCUUACGAAUAAGGAUCGGCUAACUCCGUGCCAGCAGCCGCGGUAAUACGUAGGGUGCGAGCGUUAAUCGGAAUUACUGGGCGUAAAGCGUGCGCAGGCGGAAGAUUAAGUCGGCGGUGAAAUUUUGCAGCUCAACUGUAAAAGUGCCAUCGAUACUGGUUUUCUUGAGUGUGGAUGAAGUAGGCGGAAUUUGUGGUGUAGCGGUGAAAUGCAUAGAUAUCACGAGGAACUCCGAUUGCGCAGGCAGCUUACUAGGCCAUAACUGACGCUCAGGCACGAAGGCGUGGGGAUCAAACAGG